rnacentral:rRNA from 1 species
CCUCGAUGUCGGCUCAUCACAUCCUGGGGCUGAAGUCGGUCCCAAGGGUAUGGCUGUUCGCCAUUUAAAGUGGUACGCGAGCUGGGUUUAGAACGUCGUGAGACAGUUCGGUCCCUAUCUGCCGUGGGCGUUGGAUGAUUGAGAGGGGCUGCUCCUAGUACGAGAGGACCGGAGUGGACGAACCGCUGGUGUUCGGGUUGUCAUGCCAAUGGCAUUGCCCGGUAGCUACGUUCGGAAUCGAUAACCGCUGAAAGCAUCUAAGCGGGAAGCGAGCCUCGAGAUGAGUCAUCCCUGACAGUUUAACUGUCCUAAAGGGUCGUUGAAGACUACAACGUUGAUAGGUAAGGUGUGGAAGUGCUGUGAGGCAUUAAGCUAACUUAUACUAAUUGCCCGUGAGGCUUAACCAU